GUGUCGUAAAGCCCCACUGACAGACAGACAAAGAUAGAACCAGCAGCUCUGGCAAAACCAAGAAUCUUCAGCUCAUAUGAGUACCAUGACAGAUUCCAUGUGGAAUUUGUGGGUUGUGGGUGCAAGCUGUGCUGCUAUAUCAGGAAUGACUCUGCUUUGGUGGCUGAAGAAGAGAAAUUCAGCAAAGCCCGAGUACUACGCGCGGGUCGAGCGGCGUUUGGAGCUGGAGCGGCAGCGACGUGUCCAGUUGACCAAACACCUUCUGGUUGAUGGUAACCUGAUCACCGAGGAGAGGAUGGACAUCCUGGAGCUGCCUUUGCUGCAACUGAUAGAACA